AAGAAAGUCAAGUCAGGUGCUGUAAUGCGGCCAUCCGGACUCGCCUCUCUGCACAGGGACAGGCUCCUGGGGAAGAGCUAUCCUGGUCUGGGCUGCCUGAAUGUUCCAGAAUGUUCCAGUCCCAAGAUGCUGUGAGGCCAAAGGGAGCAUCGGAUAAGCAUCUAGGACUACCCAAAUGCAGCUUGUUGAGAGACUUAUGGAAGGAAGUGUGGCUCUGGACAGCAACAAGACCACAUGGAGCCCUGCAUUUCCGUUCACAUUAGGAUUGCUAGACAGAAGAUCAGCUGCUGGCCAGGACAUCAGUCAGAGCAGAAGAAUGGAUUCUGCAUUUCGGAUG